rnacentral:rRNA from 1 species
GUGCCAGCCGCCGCGGUAAUACGAAGGGGGCUAGCGUUGCUCGGAAUCACUGGGCGUAAAGGGCGCGUAGGCGGACGUUUAAGUCGGGGGUGAAAUCCUGAGGCUCAACCUCAGAAUUGCCUUCGAUACUGGGCGUCUCGAGACCGGAAGAGGUGAGUGGAACUGCGAGUGUAGAGGUGAAAUUCGUAGAUAUUCGCAAGAACACCAGUGGCGAAGGCGGCUCACUGGUCCGGUUCUGACGCUGAGGCGCGAAAGCGUGGGGAGCAAACAGGAUUAGAUACCCCAGUAGUCC